CAAGCAGUCACUUGAAUGCCAGUUUAGAUUCAAGAGGAGAACAAUUAGACUCCACCAAUGUCAGACUGCUAAAAUGUAAAAAAUGGCCAUCAGGAUUUUCUAGGGCAGCAUAAUUAUUCUGCGAGUAGGUAAAGGAGUUUUGAUUGAGAUGAAGAGGUCAUAGAAGUGAGAAGCACUGAAAGACACAGAGCAGAGGAGGCUCACCGCAUGUCUACCACCGCACAGGCCCAUGGAAAGUAUUGACGGGCUUUCGUCAGUGUUCACUUAAGCCCCAAGAGCUCUUCAGUUAGCUUGUGGUAAUGUUGCCAGGCCUGAGAUUCAGUGUUCAGGGAAGCAUGCUCCCUUCUGGCCCACAUCUAGGUCUGUAAAUGUUAUCCAAUUGCCGAGGCCUGGAGCUAGUUCCUAAGGUACAAGUUUUUUUGCUGAGCUAGUUCCUAAGGUACAAGAAAAAGACUGCUUUACUUUUCCUUUUGCUUUUCUCAAGCAGAUAGAGUCUCUCACCACAGCCAC
rnacentral:lncRNA from 1 species